GGGUGGCGAGGCGAGGCCUACGGAGCGGAGGAAGACACUUAAAGAUGAAGUGCUUAAUUCAAGGUCACAGAAUGUCGGGGAUGGACCUCCAGAUUUCCUUACUGGUGAGACGUGGUCUUGUAACACAGUGGUUAAGAAUGUGACUUUGGAGCCAGCCUGCUAGGGGCUGAAUUCUGACUCAGCCAUUUAUUAACUGUGUGACCUUAGAUGGAGUCUCACUCUGUAGCCCAAGCUGGAGUGGCGUGAUCUCGACUCACUGCAACCUCCGCCUCCUGGGCUCAAGUGAUUCUCGUGCCUCAGCCUCCUGAGUAGCUGGGACUACAGGUCAUAGAAUUUUCCACACUCCUUGACGGAGGUUCUUAACCCUUAUCCAUCAGCAUUCUCAGACAGCACCUCCGGUUAGGGACAGUAUCUGACCGUCCGACAUCCCUGCAGCCCCCAUGCUGUCACACAGACUCAGCCUCAGGUAGAUGGUUUCCGUAGAUGGUGGCUUUCUUUGGACCCUUGAUAUCAACCAGUUACUAUUUGGGGACCAGAUGUGCAGAGGUAAUGAAUACCAGGGAAUCAGGAAACCACUGGAUCAGUUCUUUGAGCCAUAGAACAACACUCAUCCCAGCAGCUGGGAAGCUAUCUGCAAAAGUCCAUCUGCAGAAAGGGCUUCCUGGUCUUGCGUGUGGCUGGGCCAUUUCUCUGGAUGCAGGUUUUUCAUUAUACAGUCUUCUCAAAGGACCACCUGCUCU
rnacentral:antisense_RNA from 1 species